GAUUAAGCCAUGCAUGUGUAAGUGUAAAUUGUUAAGUUUGGAACUGCGAAUGGCUCAUUAUAUCAGUUAUAGUUUAUUUGGUGAAGUGUACUACUUGGAUAACCGUAGUAAUUCUAGGGCUAAUACAUGAGAAAGUCCUCUGGUGAGGUGUGUUUAUUAGAAUGAAAACCAUAUGCUUCGGCAUGAUAGUGAGUAAUAGUAACCUAUCGUAUCGCAUGCUUAAUGUAGCGAUGAGUCUUUCAAGUUUCUGCCCUAUCAUCUUUCGAUGGUAGUAUAUGGGCCUACCAUG
rnacentral:rRNA from 1 species